rnacentral:rRNA from 1 species
CACGUAGGGCGCGAGCGUUGUCCGGAAUUAUUGGGCGUAAAGAGCUCGUAGGCGGCCUGUUGCGUCCGCUGUGAAAGCCCGGGGCUUAACCCCGGGUCUGCAGUGGAUACGGGCAGGCUAGAGGUAGGUAGGGGAGAAUGGAAUUCCCGGUGUAGCGGCGAAAUGCGCAGAUAUCGGGAGGAACACCGGUGGCGAAGGCGGUUCUCUGGGCCUUACCUGACGCUGAGGAGCGAAAGCGUGGGGAGCGAACAGG